GGAAGAGGAAAUAAAGGUUUAUGCAGUCGAAGUGAACUUGGAUGCAUUGAAUCUUUUCUCAGUGUUUAUUUAAUUUAAGAAAUACUAUGUCAUCGACGUCGAGUCUGAUAUCAUUAGCUGUUGGACUGGUCGCAGGAAACGUCUUUGGAGUUUAUCUAGCCCAGACCUAUGAGUUGCCUGAUCUGCAUAACUUUUUUGAAAACAUGAUGUCACAAGCCAAGAAAAGGGAAAAGAAUCCAACAGACAGUGAUAAAAGAGAUGGUGGUUCUUGAUGCAACAGAGACACCAUAAUGCAAAUGGGUUUUGAUGUAUGAGAAAUUCAACAAAAGGAGAGAUGAAUGGGCAGUGAAUAAUUUGUAUCUAUAUGGUGAACGCUGGUUGAGAACAAAUAUUUAUAAAAGACGUGGUGGGCAUGUUGUUUGAUGUAUCGAAAGAAAUGAAUUACGAUUUUUUUUGUUUAAUUGUGUAGUUCCAGAAAUCAUCCAUACCCACCCCACAGAGGAAUUUGGAAUUUCUGAAGAGUAGGGGGGUCAGAGAAAGAACAAAAAUAAUAAACAGAGCGUGUAUGGAAGAAAAUUGGAAAUUCCUUGGGGUAGGGGGGUGUCUUAAAAAAAUUCCUCCAUGAGGGGGUAUGGAUAUAUUUUUUUAUAACUACACAUUCAUACAAGAUGGUGGCAACAAAUUAUUCAAUGUUUAACACAGAAACUUGACGUGAAACUAUUUAAUUGAUUAUUCAUACUUUGUAUACAUAGGAUUUUGUAAGUGGGAAAUGUCAGUGAUUUAUAUUUAGAGUACGGGAUGAGUUUAUUAUAUUUUCCCCUUAUUAAAAUCUCCUUUGGUA